rnacentral:rRNA from 1 species
UACGGGGGGGGCAAGCGUUGUUCGGAAUUACUGGGCGUAAAGGGCUCGUAGGCGGCCAACUAAGUCGGAUGUGAAAUCCCCAGGCUCAACCUGGGAACUGCAUCCGAUACUGGAUGGCUUGAAUUCGGGAGAGGGAUGCAGAAUUCCAGGUGUAGCGGUGAAAUGCGUAGAUAUCUGGAGGAAUACCGGUGGCGAAGGCGGGUUGCUGGGCCGACACUGACGCUGAGGCGCGAAAGCUAGGGGAGCGAACGGG